rnacentral:rRNA from 1 species
UACGUAGGUGGCAAGCGUGUCCGGAUUUAUUGGGUUUAAAGGGUGCGUAGGCGGCCUUGUAAGUCAGUGGUGAAAUACUCCAGCUUAACUGGAGGGGUGCCAAUGAUACUGCAGGGCUUGAGUACAGAUGAGGUAGGCGGAAUUGACGGUGUAGCGGUGAAAUGCAUAGAUAUCGUCAAGAACACCGAUAGCGAAGGCAGCUUACUGGGCUGUAACUGACGCUGAGGCACGAAAAGUGUGGGGGAUCAAA